rnacentral:rRNA from 1 species
CCACGUUCGGAUUGCAGGCUGCAACCCGCCCUGCAUGAAGCUGGAAUCGCUAGUAAUCGCGGAUCAGAAUGCCGCGGUGAAUACGUUCCCGGGUCUUGUACACACCGCCCGUCACACCAUGGGAGUCGGUAACGCCCGAAGUCAGUGACCCAACCGAAAGGAGGGAGCUGCCGAAGGCGGGACUGGUAACUGGGGUGAAGUCGUAACAAGGUAAC